rnacentral:rRNA from 1 species
AUUGAACGCUGGCGGCAGGCCUAACACAUGCAAGUCGAACGAGUGGCGGACGGGUGAGUAAUGUCUGGGAAUCUGCCUGAUGGAGGGGGAUAACUACUGGAAACGGUAUCUAAUACCGCAUACCAUCAGAUGUGCCCAGAUGGGAGUAGCUAGGUGGGGGGGUAACUGCUCACCAAGGCGACGAUCCCUAGCUGGUCUGAGAGGAUGACCAGCAACACUGGGACUGAGACACGGUCGAGACUCCUACGGGAGGCAGCAGGGGGGAAUAUUGCACAAUGGGCGCAAGCCUGAAGCAGCCAUGCCGCGUGUAUGAAGAAGGCCUUAGGGUUGUAAAGUACUUUCAGCGGGGAGGCGUUACCCGCAGAAGAAGCACCGGCUAACUCCGUGCCAGCAGCCGCGGUAAUUC